AUUGACCGCUGGCGGCGGGCCUAACACAUGCAAGUCGAACGAGUGGCGGAGGGGUGCGUAGUGUCUGGACAACUGGCCGAUGGAGGGGGGUAACUACUGGAACCGGUAGCUAAUACCGCAUAAAGUGCGAUGUGCCGCGAUGGGAUUAGCUAGUGGGUGGGGUAACGGCUCACCUAGGCGACGACCCCUAGCUGGUCUGAGAGGAUGACCAGCCACACUGGAACUGAGACACGGUCCAGACUCCUACGGGAGGCAGCAGUGGGGAAUAUUGGACAAUGGGCGAAAGUCUGAUGCAGCCAUGCCGCGUGUGUGAAGAAGGCCUUCGGGUUGUAAAGUACUGUCAGUGGGGAGGCGUUACUCGCAGAAGAAGCACCGGCUAACUCCGUGCCAGCAGCCGCGGUAAUUC
rnacentral:rRNA from 1 species